UGCCUUAUCUCUACUUUGUAUAGACAGGGAGAAGGUGGUAAUGGUAGGGCAGCCAGUGGCAAGAAGCGAGCUUUGAUCAUCUUCUCUGAGGAACAGACCAGAGCCUUGAAGAGGUAUGCCUCAUGACAUAUGUAUAAGAAACAUGAUGAGUCUGUGUUUAGCAUGCCAGAACUAUUGAUCAUUGCAUGCUGCAGAACUUCUGUCAAUGCUGGAAACAAUUCUGAUAUGGUAAAGGAAGAAGUGCAUAAAGAAGCUGAACUGUGGUCCCUCAAGAGUUGGAUGUGACUGUUGUUGCAAACCAUGACUGGAUAUUUCUAAUCUACAGCAUGGAUGCUAUCAAAAUCCAUAAGAAGAGGGAGUAAAUGUUUCUGGCUUGAAUUUCAGGACACUAGCCACAACGUGUUUCUGCACUAGUGUCAUAGAGGAAGGAAAGCAUAUCUCUGCAUUAGAGGGUGGAUUUGGGCUAUAAUUUAAUUUCCACAGCAGCAUGUCCCAAUCAGCUGGAAAGCUUGUAAUUAACCUCUUCUCAGCAACCACAAGGAAACAGAAUUUGUUUGAGGAAACUUUGAUUACUCAAUGUGAACUGGAUUUCCAGCUAGAGUGCCUGUUCCUGUGUUAAAACUUCAUACUACCUGGCCCCUAUGGCAACUAUUGAAGUACUCUAGCAUGCUUUUGGAGAAGCACAGUCAAGGUUUUUGCCUAAAACUGUCCUGUCAGAAGUAAAAUUGAUAUCAGUGUUUUGCAAGGACAAGCAAAGGAAGACUAAACUUGAGGUACUUCAACCUAGAACUGCAGAGUAUUUCUACUAAAGCUUCUUGCCUGUGCUAUGGAUGCUGGAGAUAAUAGAAGUUUACCUUAGGUUUGUCUAACAUCCUUCCUCUCAAAGGGCAAAAAGCAUUUUCUACUUAAGCCAACAAACAACAAAAUUGGUUAUUUCAUCCAAAGUUAGACAAAGCCCUUCAUGUAAAUUCUGCUAUUGAGGAAACACUAUGUACAAACGCAUGCAAAAAGUACUUACAAGUUUGUUCCCUAGGCUUAACUUUCCAAGCACUCCUCACUUUUACCAACAGCUUAGACUGGUCUUGUCAGAAGCUUAUUCUUUUUCUAAUUGCUGGUACAAAAGGUUCUUAAAUCAUGUUUUGACAGCUGAAAUACUACAUCUUCACAAAUAAAAAAACCCCCUGUCAUUAGUGCUAGUGCAGAAGCAAAGGAACCAGAUGCAGUACUAAAAGCUGGGGGAGGGGACAAUAAUUCAAAAGUUAAGAAGAGCAUCUGCCUAUAGUUUGAUAGCAGCUAUCAGUCUAAAUCCAACCUAGAAAAUUAGGUUCUGCUACAGCUGGCAUAGAGCUGGACAAAAAAAGUUUAGAAAUAAUAGUAUUAGAUCAAGAGGGUAUUCUAUUUACUUCUGUACUUUUCAUUGUAAAAAAGAAAAAACCCAAACCAA